CACUGCCUCUCGCCGAGAAGGUUCACGUAGCAUGUCGCCGGGCUGAAAGGGUUCAGGUAUAAGCAGGUGAAUGUUUGAAAUUAGGGAGAACAACAUCAGUGAGUAAAAAUUGCUCUCUUAAUAAGGAAAAAAAGAACCAAAUUUCCAGAUUCAUGGAAGAGUCACUGGGAAGACUGAAACAGCAUAGUGGCUUCCACUCUAGACUACAAUCUCUGCUUCCCAGUUGGGCUUUGCCUCCUGGUUAUCACUUGCACAUAUUCUCCUGGGAAAAUAGAGAACACACAUGAUGAGCCUGUAGUUUAGCAAGCUACAGUGACUUCAUCUUCUCCACACAGUACAGUACUGCUUAUUUCUUCCUCCCCACUUUUUUUCCUUAUCUUUAUUCAAAUAUGACCUGAGUUAGAGUUCCAGCUCCUCUGAUUCUCUUAUCCUGAUUGAUAUAAACAUAAAUCUUAUUCUGA